rnacentral:rRNA from 1 species
GACGAACGCUGGCGGCGUGCUUAACACAUGCAAGUCGAACGGUAAGGCCCUUCGGGGUACACGAGUGGCGAACGGGUGAGUAACACGUGGGUGAUCUGCCCUGCACUUCGGGAUAAGCCUGGGAAACUGGGUCUAAUACCGGAUAGGACCACUGCCUGCCUGGGGGGUGGUGGAAAGCUUUUGCGGUGUGGGAUGGGCCCGCGGCGUAUCAGCGUGUUGGUGGGGUGAUGGCCUACCAAGGCGACGACGGGUAGCCGGCCUGGGAGGGUGACCGGCCACACUGGGACUGAGAUACGGCCCAGACUCCUACGGGAGGCAGCAGUGGGGAAUAUUGCACAAUGGGCGCAAGCCUGAUGCAGCGACGCCGCGUGAGGGAUGACGGCCUUCGGGUUGUAAACCUCUUUCAGCACCGACGAAGCGCAAGUGACGGUAGGUGCAGAAGAAGGACCGGCCAACUACGUGCCAGCAGCAGCCGCCG